AGUUUGAUCCUGGCUCAGAACGAACGCUGGCGGCAUGCCUAACACAUGCAAGUCGAACGAUGCCUUCGGGCAUAGUGGCGCACGGGUGCGUAACGCGUGGGAAUCUGCCCUUGGGUUCGGAAUAACUCAGAGAAAUUUGAGCUAAUACCGGAUGAUGACGUAAGUCCAAAGAUUUAUCGCCCAAGGAUGAGCCCGCGUAAGAUUAGCUAGUUGGUGGGGUAAAAGCCUACCAAGGCGACGAUCUGUAGCUGGUCUGAGAGGACGACCAGCCACACUGGGACUGAGACACGGUCCAGACUCCUACGGGAGGCAGCAGUGGGGAAUAUUGGACAAUGGGGGCAACCCUGAUCCAGCCAUGCCGCGUGUGUGAAGAAGGCCUUCGGGUUGUAAAGCACUUUAAGCGGGGAGGAAGGCCUGAUGGCUAAUAUCCAUCGGGAUUGACGUUACCCGCAGAAUAAGCACCGGCAAACUUCGUG
rnacentral:rRNA from 1 species